rnacentral:rRNA from 1 species
UACGGGGGGGCAAGCGUUGUUCGGAAUUACUGGGCGUAAAGGGCUCGUAGGUGGCCAACUAAGUCAGACGUGAAAUCCCUCGGCUUAACCGGGGAACUGCGUCUGAUACUGGAUGGCUUGAGUUUGGGAGAGGGAUGCGGAAUUCCAGGUGUAGCGGUGAAAUGCGUAGAUAUCUGGAGGAACACCGGUGGCGAAGGCGGCAUCCUGGACCGGCAUUGACGCUGAGGCGCGAAAGCCAGGGGGAGCAAACGGG